rnacentral:rRNA from 1 species
UACGUAGGCAGCAAGCGUUGUUCGGAAUUACUGGGCGUAAAGAGUGUGUAGGCGGUGCUCCAAGUCUGGUGUGAAAUCUCCCGGCUUAACUGGGAGGGUGCAUUAGAAACUGGAAUGCUAGAGGAUGGGAGAGGUAAGCGGAAUUCCUGGUGUAGCGGCGAAAUGCGUAGAUAUCAGGAGGAACACCUGUGGUGUAGACAGCUUACUGGACCAUUUCUGACGCUGAGACACGAAAGCGUGGGUAGCAAACAGG